CCUACGGGAGGCAGCAGUGAGGAAUAUUGGUCAAUGGGCGCGAGCCUGAACCAGCCAAGUCGCGUGAGGGAGGACGGCCCUACGGGUUGUAAACCUCUUUUGCCGGGGAGCAACGGGCGUCACGUGUGGCGCCACUGAGAGUACCCGGAGAAAAAGCAUCGGCUAACUCCGUGCCACCAGCCGGGGUAAUACGGAGGAUGCGAGCGUUUUCCGGAUUGAUUGGGUUUAAAGGGUCCGUAGGCGGAUCGUUAAGUCAGGGGUAAAAUUGGGGGGCUCAACCCCUUCCCGCCAUUGAAACUGGCGCUCUUGAGUGGAAGAGAAGUAUGCGGAAUGCGUGGUGUAGCGGUGAAAUGCAUAGAUAGCACGCAGAACCCCGAUUGCGAAGGCAGCAUGCCGGCUUCCGACUGACGCUGAAGCACGAAAGCGUGGGGAUCGAACAGGAUUAGAUACCCCAGUAGUC
rnacentral:rRNA from 1 species